rnacentral:lncRNA from 1 species
AGGUAUGGGUUCUUUGUGUGUGGAGAAUUUACACGAGAAACUCUUUCUCGUGUAGAUUAAAUGGCUCACAAGAUAAGGUGGGUGGCGCAUGGAUUAGUAGCCCAUUCAAAUUCAAACAUCCUUUGAAUUGAAUGGCCAACAAACCAAUAUUUAUCUAGAUAAAUGGUGCACAAGGGAGGGUGUGGGAAGGCUUCUGCAUGGGAGAAAAUUCAUGAGAAGUUGUUUCUCAUGAAUUCAAAUGGGUGCAGAUAAGUGAGGUGGCGCAGGGAGAUGAGGUCAAAGUGGUUUCAACCUAAUUGAGCCAACCUAAUCAAAAUAGGUUAGGCACAAUUAGACUAAGUUAAACCCAACUUAAUUAGG